rnacentral:rRNA from 1 species
UACAGAAAGGGCAAGCGUUAUUCGGAAUUACUGGGCGUAAAGCGCGUGUAGGCGGCCAUGCAAGUCGGAUGUGAAAGCCCUCGGCUCAACCGGGGAAGUGCACUCGAAACUGCAAGGCUAGAGUCUCGGAGAGGAUCGUGGAAUUCUCGGUGUAGCAGUGAAAUGCGUAGAUAUCGAGAGGAACACCAGUGGCGAAGGCAAGUCCCUGGACAGAUCCUGACGCUGAGGCACGAAAGCUAGGGGAGCAAACAGG